CAGUCGCCACGGGAAUACGGAGGGAGCUAGCGUUGUUCGGAAUUACUGGGCGUAAAGCGCACGUAGGCGGCUUUGUAAGUUAGAGGUGAAAGCCUGGAGCUCAACUCCAGAAUUGCCUUUAAGACUGCAUCGCUUGAAUCCAGGAGAGGUGAGUGGAAUUCCGAGUGUAGAGGUGAAAUUCGUAGAUAUUCGGAAGAACACCAGUGGCGAAGGCGGCUCACUGGACUGGUAUUGACGCUGAGGUGCGAAAGCGUGGGGAGCAAACAGGAUUAGAUACCCCUGUAGUCCCUGUCUCUUAUAC
rnacentral:rRNA from 1 species